rnacentral:rRNA from 1 species
AGUCCUAUAACGAGCGCAACCCCUAUUACUAGUUGCCAGCGAGUCAUGUCGGGGACUCUAGUGAGACUGCCGGUGCAAACCGUGAGGAAGGUGGGGAUGACGUCAAAUCAUCACGGCCCUUACGUCCUGGGCCACACACGUGCUACAAUGGUAAGGACAGAGAGCAGCCACUUCGCGAGAAGGAGCGAAUCUUCAAACCUUAUCUCAGUUCGGAUCGUAGUCUGCAACUCGACUACGUGAAGCUGGAAUCGCUAGUAAUCGCAUAUCAGCCAUGAUGCGGUGAAUACGUUCCCGGGCCUU